UAUUCCAUACUCAAUUUAUUUUAAGAAACUCGAAUAAAAGUUUUCUUGUAAAGUGUCUUGACAGAUGUAUAAAUCGGUAAUUAAACUUAAAUGCCAAAUUAUUAUUUUUAGAGAUUAAUGAUAAUAUUGGUUUUAUAAUUUUAUUGUACUAUUUAAUUUAAAUAAACCUCUUACCUUCUGCUUUCAAUGAUAAUAGUAGAACGAACAGAGAACACUCAAGGAUGUUUUAUGGCUACAUACAAAAACGUUUAAAUUAAAAUUUAAAAACAAUACCUACUACUUUUGAAUUAAUAAGGUAUACUUUUUAAAUAUUUUUAUUUAUAACUCAAUAUAAAUAUUUUAUUUUUUACCAUUAUGAAUUGCGCUAUUUCACUUGUGUAAUACAUACAUAUUGAUUUUUUAAGUAGGUAUAGGUAUAAUACAACUCCUUAAUGGAUAUAUUCAAAUUUUGUUUUUCAGAAAAUGUAUACCUAGGUUAUAGGUAAGUACAUAAAUAUUAGACAUUAGACAAAUGGGGAACGAUUCUAGUUUAACUCCUACACGAUUUUUGGGGGUUUUUUUUUUCAAAAUGUGUGUUUUUGCAUGUAUAUUGAGAAUGUAAAAAAAAAAGUCUAAU